rnacentral:rRNA from 1 species
UACGUAGGGUCCGAGCGUUGUCCGGAAUUAUUGGGCGUAAAGGGCUCGUAGGCGGUUUGUCACGUCGGGAGUGAAAACUCAGGGCUCAACCCUGAGCGUGCUUCCGAUACGGGCAGACUAGAGGUAUGCAGGGGAGAACGGAAUUCCUGGUGUAGCGGUGGAAUGCGCAGAUAUCGGGAAGAACACCCGUGGCGAAGGCGGUUCUCUGGGACGGUACUGACGCUGAGACGCGAAAGCGUGGGGAGCGAACAGG